GGGGCCAUAGCAUAACUGGAAAAUGCCCAUCGCUCAUAAUGAUGUUAAUUAAUGUUCGAAUCAUUAUGGCCUUA
rnacentral:tRNA from 1 species